UAAGAAGAAAAAUAAAAAUUUUGAAAUUUGAUGAUGAUGAUGAUUCUUCAGUCAUUUUCAAUUCUAAAUAUAAAAAGAAGGAUUUUAGAGUUUCUGAACUCUUUGUCAGAUCAUGAUCCAACUAGUUACUUGAGAGAAUAAAGAUAAGAACAAAAAAAGUAACAAGUAAUGAUGAUAUGGUCAAAAAAACAAAAGAAGCAAGAAAAAAAUUUUUUUUUGCUUAAUUCUACUUUUUACCCAAUAGUGGAUAUUAAGUGGCAGGGCAUUCCAAUGCCCACUAUUGGUCACUUACAUUCAUGGGGGAUUAGCCAUCGGGGGAGGAUGAGAUUCAACAAACUGAACCUGGAACCCUCUCAAAAACUUUUGGAGAUAUGGAUCCUGAGAAUUGGACACAAAUUUUCCAUGGAAUGAGGAAGAAAAACAUUACAAUCAAAAAGAUAAAACUGUUCAUAUAAAAAUUUUAUAAAUAAAA
rnacentral:lncRNA from 1 species